GACGAACGUUGGCGGCGUGCUUAACACAUGCAAGUCGAACGGAAAGGCCCUGCUUUUGUGGGGUGCUCGAGUGGCGAACGGGUGAGUAACACGUGAGUAACCUGCCCUUGACUUUGGGAUAACUUCAGGAAACUGGGGCUAAUACCGGAUAGGAGCUCCUGCUGCAUGGUGGGGGUUGGAAAGUUUCGGCGGUUGGGGAUGGACUCGCGGCUUAUCAGCUUGUUGGUGGGGUAGUGGCUUACCAAGGCUUUGACGGGUAGCCGGCCUGAGAGGGUGACCGGCCACAUUGGGACUGAGAUACGGCCCAGACUCCUACGGGAGGCAGCAGUGGGGAAUAUUGCACAAUGGGCGGAAGCCUGAUGCAGCAACGCCGCGUGCGGGAUGACGGCCUUCGGGUUGUAAACCGCUUUCGCCUGUGACGAAGCGUGAGUGACGGUAAUGGGUAAAGAAGCACCGGCUAACUACGUGCCAGCAGCCGCGGUGAUACGUAGGGUGCGAGCGUUGUCCGGAUUUAUUGGGCGUAAAGGGCUCGUAGGUGGUUGAUCGCGUCGGAAGUGUAAUCUUGGGGCUUAACCCUGAGCGUGCUUUCGAUACGGGUUGACUUGAGGAAGGUAGGGGAGAAUGGAAUUCCUGGUGGAGCGGUGGAAUGCGCAGAUAUCAGGAGGAACACCAGUGGCGAAGGCGGUUCUCUGGGCCUUUCCUGACGCUGAGGAGCGAAAGCGUGGGGAGCGAACAGGCUUAGAUACCCUGGUAGUCCACGCUGUAAACGGUGGGUACUAGGUGUGGGGUCCAUUCCACGGGUUCCGUGCCGUAGCUAACGCUUUAAGUACCCCGCCUGGGGAGUACGGCCGCAAGGCUAAAACUCAAAGGAAUUGACGGGGCCCCGCACAAGCGGCGGAGCAUGCGGAUUAAUUCGAUGCAACGCGUAGAACCUUACCUGGGUUUGACAUGGAUCGGGAGUGCUCAGAGAUGGGUGUGCCUCUUUUGGGGUCGGUUCACAGGUGGUGCAUGCCUGUCGUCAGCUCAUGUCGUGAGAUGUUGGGUUAAGUCCCGCAACGAGCGCAACCCUUGUUCACUGUUGCCAGCACGUUAUGGUGGGGACUCAGUGGAGACCGCCGGGGUCAACUCGGAGGAAGGUGGGGAUGACGUCAAGUCAUCAUGCCCCUUAUGUCCAGGGCUUCACGCAUGCUACAAUGGCUGGUACAGAGAGUGGCGAGCCUGUGAGGGUGAGCGAAUCUCGGAAAGCCGGUCUCAGUUCGGAUUGGGGUCUGCAACUCGACCUCAUGAAGUCGGAGUCGCUAGUAAUCGCAGAUCAGCAACGCUGCGGUGAAUACGUUCCCGGGGCU
rnacentral:rRNA from 1 species